rnacentral:rRNA from 1 species
AGAGCGAACGCUGGCGGCAGGCUUAACACAUGCAAGUCGAGCGGGCGUAGCAAUACGUCAGCGGCAGACGGGUGAGUAACGCGUGGGAACGUACCUUUUGGUUCGGAACAACACAGGGAAACUUGUGCUAAUACCGGAUAAGCCCUUACGGGGAAAGAUUUAUCGCCAAAAGAUCGGCCCGCGUCUGAUUAGCUAGUUGGUGAGGUAAUGGCUCACCAAGGCGACGAUCAGUAGCUGGUCUGAGAGGAUGAUCAGCCACAUUGGGACUGAGACACGGCCCAAACUCCUACGGGAGGCAGCAGUGGGAAUAUUGGACAAUGGGCGCAAGCCUGAUCCAGCCAUGCCGCGUGAGUGAUGAAGGCCCUAGGGUUGUAAAGCUCUUUGUGCGGGAAGAUAAUGACGGUACCGCAAGAAUAAGCCCGGCUAACUUCGCGCCAGCAGCCGC